CGGCAGCACGGGGGCAACCCUGGUGGCGAGUGGCGAACGGGUGAGUAAUACAUCGGAACGUGUCCUGUAGUGGGGGAUAGCCCGGCGAAAGCCGGAUUAAUACCGCAUACGCUCUACGGAGGAAAGGGGGGGAUCUUAGGACCUCUCGCUACAGGGGCGGCCGAUGGCAGAUUAGCUAGUUGGUGGGGUAAAGGCCUACCAAGGCGACGAUCUGUAGCUGGUCUGAGAGGACGACCAGCCACACUGGGACUGAGACACGGCCCAGACUCCUACGGGAGGCAGCAGUGGGGAAUUUUGGACAAUGGGGGCAACCCUGAUCCAGCAAUGCCGCGUGUGUGAAGAAGGCCUUCGGGUUGUAAAGCACUUUUGUCCGGAAAGAAAACCUCUUGGUUAAUACCUGAGGGGGAUGACGGUACCGGAAGAAUAAGCACCGGCUAACUACGUGCCAGCAGCCGCGGUAAUACGUAGGGUGCAAGCGUUAAUCGGAAUUACUGGGCGUAAAGCGUGCGCAGGCGGUUCGCUAAGACAGAUGUGAAAUCCCCGGGCUUAACCUGGGAACUGCAUUUGUGACUGGCGGGCUAGAGUAUGGCAGAGGGGGGUAGAAUUCCACGUGUAGCAGUGAAAUGCGUAGAGAUGUGGAGGAAUACCGAUGGCGAAGGCAGCCCCCUGGGCCAAUACUGACGCUCAUGCACGAAAGCGUG
rnacentral:rRNA from 1 species